rnacentral:rRNA from 1 species
UACGAAGGGGGCUAGCGUUGUUCGGAAUUACUGGGCGUAAAGCGCGCGCAGGCGGUUCUUUUAAGUCAGGGGUGAAAGCCCAGAGCUCAACUCUGGAAUUGCCUUUGAAACUAGAGAACUUGGGUACGGGAGAGGUGAGUGGAAUUCCGAGUGUAGAGGUGAAAUUCGUAGAUAUUCGGAAGAACACCAGUGGCGAAGGCGGCUCACUGGCCCGUUACCGACGCUCAGGCGCGACAGCGUGGGGAGCAAACAGG